GACGAACGCUGGCGGCGCGCUUAACACAUGCAAGUCGAACGGAAAGGCCUGCUUUCCCUUGUGGAUUGCGGGUACUCGAGUGGCGAACGGGUGAGUAACACGUGAGUGAUCUGCCCCCAACUUGGGUAUAAGCCUGGGAAACUGGGUCUAAUUCCCGAUAGGACUGCAGGGUGGUGCCUGUGGUGGAAAACGAUUUUCUAGUGGUUGGGGAUGAGCUCGCGGCCUAUCAGCUUGUUGGUGGGGUAAUGGCCUACCAAGGCGGCGACGGGUAGCCGGCCUGAGGGGGUGGACGGCCACAUUGGGACUGAGAUACGGCCCAGACUCCGACGGGAGGCAGCAGUGGGGAAUAUUGGAAGAUGGGCGGAAGCCUGAUGCAGCGACGCCGCGUGGGGGAUGACGGGCUUCGGGUUGUAAACUCCUUUCGACCGCGAGGAAGCCACCUGGUUGGAAGGGUGGUGACGGUAGUGGUAGAAGAAGCACCGGCUAACUACGUG
rnacentral:rRNA from 1 species